rnacentral:rRNA from 1 species
AAUGAACGUUGGCGGCGUGGAUUAGGCAUGCAAGUCGAGCGAGAACCCCGCAAGGGGGGACAGCGGCGAAAGGGACAGUAAUGUGUAGAUUAUCUGCCCUCAGGUCCGGGAUAGCUGCGGGAAACUGCAGGUAAUACCGGAUAACAUCUCCGGAUCAAAGGUGUGAUUCCGCCUGAGGAUGAGUCUGCAUCCUAUUAGCUAGUUGGUGGGGUAAUGGCCUACCAAGGCAUUGAUGGGUAGCAGGUGUGAGAGCACGACCUGCGUCAUUGGGACUGAGACACUGCCCAGACACCUACGGGUGGCUGCAGUCGAGAAUCGUCGGCAAUGGGCGCAAGCCUGACCGAGCGACGCCGCGUGUGGGAUGAAGGCCGUCUGGUUGUAAACCACUGUCAGAGGGGAUGAAAUGCAGGUGGGUUCUCCCAUCUGUUUGACAUAGCCUCAGAGGAAGGACGGGCUAAGUUCGUG